AUUUAUAGCUCGUUCUUUGCACAGUCGUCCGUCCCUAUAAAGACAUUUAAUUGUUUUUACGAGUAAUACAUAGUUUGCAGAUAAAGUGAACCUUGGAAAAUCUAAGUAGACCGAACCAAUGGUUGCAGAGCUUGAAAAAAAAAGUAUCGAGGGCCAAGUAAUAACGAGUGUUGUAUACCAAUCGGGACGUGAUGGAUUUACAGAUACCAAACAAUGAGUCAUAAUAUUAUACGUAUUAGUAUAGAGUUCUAA